rnacentral:pre_miRNA from 1 species
UCCUUAACUAUUAAAAGUUUCGUUUCGGUCCCAUAACUUAUAUUAGGGUUUUCUUUUGGUCCCUUAACUAUUAAAAGUUUCGUUUUGGUCCCUUAACUCUUCCUCCGUCAACCACUUAGGUCCUUAAUGUUGGGAUGAAUGUAUUAGAUUUAAGGGACCAAAAAAUAAGUUAAUGGACCAAAACUAAUCUCAAAAAUACUUUAUGGGACCAAAUUAAAACUUUAAAUAUUUAAAGGACCAAACGAAAAUCCAAAAAUAAGUUAUGGGACCGAAACAAAUUUUUUAAUAGUCAAGGAA